rnacentral:rRNA from 1 species
UGAAUACGAGACGCUAAGGCGUCGAAGUAGUGUAUGUCAUACUUCCAAGAAAAGCUUGCACUGUCAUAAGUAAAAAAUGCCUGUACCAUAACCGACACAGGUGGGUAGGUAGAGUAUACUAAGGGGCGCGAGAUAACUCUCUCUAAGGAACUCGGCAAAAUAACUCCGUAACUUCGGGAGAAGGAGUACCUUAUUCUAUAAGGUUGCAAUAACAAGAUCCAAGCAACUGUUUAUCAAAAACACAGGUCUCCGCUAAGUCGUAAGACGAUGUAUGGGGGCUGACGCCUGCCCAGUGCCAGAAGGUUAAAGAAGUCGGUUAGCAUUAGCGAAGCUGGUAACUGAAGCCCUGGUGAACGGCGGCCGUAACAAUAACGGUCCUAAGGUAGCGAAAUUCCUUGUCGGGUAAGUUCCGACCCGCACGAAAGGCGUAAUGAUUUGGAUACUGUCUCGGAGAGGGGCUCGGUGAAAUAGACUUGUCUGUGAAGAUGCGGACUACCUGCACCAGGACAGAAAGACCCUAUGAAGCUUUACUGUAACUUGAAGUUGAAAUUGGACUUUAUUCGCGCAGUAUAGGUGGGAGGUGUUGAUUAUAAUCUUGCGGGAUUAUUGGAGCCAUCAGUGAGAUACCACUCUUGUAAUGUUAGAUUUCUAACUUUGAAUCAUUAUCUGGUCAAAGGACAGUUUCAGGCGGGCAGUUUGACUGGGGCGGUCGCCUCCCAAACGGUAACGGAGGCGUACAAAGGUUUCCUCUGAACGGGUAGAAAUCGUAUCUAGAGUGUAAAGGCAUAAGGAAGCUUGACUGUGAGACCUACAAGUCGAACAGGGACGAAAGUCGGUCUUAGUGAUCUGACGGUACUGAGUGGAAAGGCCGUCACUCAACGGAUAAAAGUUACUCUAAGGAUAACAGGCUGAUCUCCCCCAAGAGUUCACAUCGACGGGGAGGUUUGGCACCUCGAUGUCGGCUCAUCGCAUCCUGGGGCGGUAGUACGUCCCAAGGGUUGGGCUGUUCGCCCAUGAAAGCGGUACGCGAGCUGGGUUCAGAACGUCGUGAGACAGUUCGGUCCAUAUCCGGUGUAGGCGUUAGAAUAUUGAGAGGAGCCUUCUUUAGUACGAGAGGACCGAGAAGGACAUACCUCUGGUGUACCAGUUAUCGUGCCAACGGUAAACGCUGGGUAGCUAUGUAUGGAGUGGAUAACCGCUGAAAGCAUCUAAGUGGGAAGCCCACCUCAAGAUAAGUAUUCCC